rnacentral:sRNA from 1 species
GCAGUUGGCAGGCUGCUGCGGGAGGCGGUGGCGGUAGGAAGCCGGAGACAGCAGGGUGACAGAGAUAAAAGAGGAGUAGAAGGUAAAAGAAAAUGCUGGGAACUGACCGUUGUGUUGUGGAAGAAUGGUUAUCAGAAUUCAAGGCAUUACCUGACACUCAGAUCACCAGUUAUGCAGCAACUUUACACCGGAAGAAAACACUUGUACCAGCCCUCUAUAAAGUUAUUCAAGAUUCAAAUAAUGAGGUAGGAGACCUCAAGAAAAAUAAUUUCUACAUAGUGAAAUGAAAUAUGUAUACCAAAACACAUAAAUUUAAGUUUUAUAAUUUUCUUUCCUUGUGGAUCUGGAAAAUUUUCUUUCUGCUGUUUUGCAUUCUGAUAGUUGCUUUGGCUUUCCCUAUUCCCUGCCUUUCCAUAUUUUGAAAUGUUUUGGUCAAAUUUUUUCCUGUUGAGUGUGCAGUAUGUUUUGAUUGUUAAUUUUAUUGACCAUCAUCUCAGUGGAUUAUUUAUUUGAAACUUUUCUGUUUCCUA